rnacentral:rRNA from 1 species
AGGAUGAAUGUUGGCGAUGUGCCUUAGGUAUGCAAGUCGAGCGGUCCGCCUUGGCGGACAGCGGCGAACGGGUGAGUAAUGCAUAGAUAACCUUCCUCGAAAUCAGGAAUAGCUUUGCGAAAGCGGAGGUAAUACCUGAUAGUCCAUAUUGUAUAAUUUACUUUAUGGUAAAGCUCCGGCGUUUCGAGAUGGGUCUAUGUCCUAUCAGCUUGUUGGUGAGGUAAAAGCCCACCAAGGCUAAGACGGGUAGCUGGCGUGAGAGCGCGGCCAGCCACAAUGGAACUGCGACACGGUCCAUACUCCUACGGGAGGCAGCAAUUAGGAAUCUUGCGCAAUGGGGGCAACCCUGACGCAGCGACAUCGCGUGGAGGAAGAAGGUCUUCGGAUUGUAAACUCCUUUUAUGUGGGAAGAAUGAAUGACGGUACCACAAGAAUAAGCACCUGCUAACUACGUGCCAGAAGCAUCGGUGAUGCGUAGGGUGCGAACAUUAUCCGGAGUGAUUGGGUGUAAAGAGAUGCGUAGGCAUUUUGAUAAGUCCAAUGUCAAAGCCCUCUGCUUAACGGAGGAAAGGCAAUGGAUACUAUCAGAAUAGAGUCAGAAAGGGGUGAGCGGAAUUUCCGGUGGAGCAGUGAAAUGCGUUGAUAUCGGGAGGAACACCAGAGGCGAAGGCGGCUCACUGGUUCUGUACUGACGCUAAGGCUCGAAAGCGUGAGGAGCAAAACGGAUUAGAUACCCGUGUAGUCCACGCUGUAAACUAUGUCCGCUAGGUGUUUGGUAUGACC